rnacentral:rRNA from 1 species
AUUGAACGCUGGCGGCAUGCCUUACACAUGCAAGUCGAACGGCAGCGCGGGGCAACCUGGCGGCGAGUGGCGAACGGGUGAGUAACAUAUCGGAACAUACCCUAGAGUGGGGGAUAACGUAGCGAAAGUUACGCUAAUACCGCAUACGCACUAAGGUGGAAAGUGGGGGAUUCGCAAGAACCUCAUGCUCAUGGAGUGGCCGAUAUCUGAUUAGCUAGUUGGUGAGGUAAAGGCUCACCAAGGCGACGAUCAGUAGCUGGUUUGAGAGAACGACCAGCCACACUGGAACUGAGACACGGUCCAGACUCCUACGGGAGGCAGCAGUGGGGAAUUAUGGACAAUGGGGGCGAACCCUGAUCCAGCAAUGCCGCGUGAGUGAAGAAGGCC